AUUCCAGCUCCAAUAGCGUAUAUUAAAGUUGCUGCAGUUAAAAAGCUCGUAGUUGGAUCUCGGGUGCAGGCUUGCGGUCCGCCUCGCGGCGGUCACUGCUCGUCCUGACCUCCACGCCGGUUGUCCGCGCCUUGGUGCUCUUGAUUGAGUGUCUCGGCCGGCCGGAACGUUUACUUUGAAGAAAUUAGAGUGCUCAAAGCAGGCUACUACCGCCUGAAUAAUGGUGCAUGGAAUAAUGGAAUAGGACCUCGGUUCUAUUUUGCUGGUUUUCGGAGCUCGAGGUAAUGAUUAAUAGGGACAGACGGGGGCAUUCGUAUUGCGGCGCUAGAGGUGAAAUUCUUGGACCGUCGCAAGACGAACUACAGCGAUAGCAUUUGCCAAGCAUGCUUUCAUUA
rnacentral:rRNA from 1 species